UGGAAGCAGCAUAAUAGGGCCCAUUGUUAACACUGAGAAAAUCAGGACCCUCAACUUCAGAAAGAAUGUAUUUCUCUUUUUCUAAACCUCAAUGAAGAAAGUUCUGGAAUAAGGCCUUAAGGAUCAAUGAAAUUGCAGCAUUUAUAUU